rnacentral:misc_RNA from 1 species
CUCACCACACGGACUGAGACUGAUUUGAUUAAAGCACCAGAGUGCAAUGGCCCUCAGAGCAGGGCUGGUCCUGGGGUUCCACACCCUGAUGACCCUCCUGAGCCCGCAGGAGGCAGGGGCCACCAAGGGGCCAGCCCAGUGUCAGAACAGGACUCUGUCCCCACACAGAACCCAGGACGGGGCCCAGGCUCAGGGACUCAACAAUCACAUAUUGUGGAUGAGACAGACACAUUUUUUUCUCUCUCCUUGACCCUGAACUCGCCAAACACAGCUGACCACAUGGGCUCCUACGGACCCGCCUUCUACCAGUCUUACGGCGCCUCGGGCCAGUUCACCCAUGAAUUUGAUGAGGAACAGCUGUUCUCUGUGGACCUGAAGAAAAGCGAGGCCGUGUGGCGUCUGCCUGAGUUUGGCGACUUUGCCCGCUUUGACCCGCAGGGCGGGCUGGCCGGCAUCGCCGCAAUCAAAGCCC